AACGAACGCUGGCGGCAUGCCUAACACAUGCCAGUCGAACGAGACCUUCGGGUCUAGUGGCGCACGGGUGCGUAACGCGUGGGAACCUGCCCUUAGGUUCGGACUAACUCCCCGAAAGGGGUGCUAAUACCGGAUAAUGUCUUCGGACCAAAGAUUUAUCGCCUUUGGAUGGGCCCGCGUUGGAUUAGCUAGUUGGUAGGGUAAAAGCCUACCAAGGCGACGAUCCAUAGCUGGUCUGAGAGGAUGAUCAGCCACACUGGGACUGAGACACGGCCCAGACUCCUACGGGAGGCAGCAGUGGGGAAUAUUGGACAAGGGGCGAAAGCCUGAUCCAGCAAUGCCGCGUGAGUGAUGAAGGCCUUAGGGUUGUAAAGCUCUUUUACCCGGGAUGAUAAUGACAGUACCGGGAGAAUAAGCUCCGGCUAACUCCGUG
rnacentral:rRNA from 1 species